CCCUUAGAUGUUCUGGGCCGCACGCGUGCUACACUGAGUGGAUCAGCGGGUCAGGUUGCGCGAAAGCGUUUCCUAAUCUUUAAAUCCGCUCGUGAUGGGGAUUGACGGUUGCAAUUUUCUGUCAUGAACGAGGAAUACCUUGUAAGCGCGGGACAUCAUCCCGCGCUGAAUACGUCCCUGCCCUUUGUACACACCGCCCGUCGCUCCUACCGAUUGAGUGGUCCGGUGAGGCUUUGGGAUCUGAGCGGAAAGAGCGUUUCGCUGUUUCUGCUCGGAAAACUCAGUCGAACCUUAUCAUUUAGAGGAAGGAGAAGUCGUAACA
rnacentral:rRNA from 1 species